UCUUAGGUAUGUCUUUAUCAGCAGCAUGAAAACAGACUAAUACACUGGGGCUCUAAAGUGCUAUUGUAAAAGGAGUAGGAAAAGAACUUUCCACAGACAACAACAGAAAAGUGAAAGAAACUCUGCAUUCAACAAAUGUUUAUUGAACCUUUGCAAAUAGCAGAGAAAAACAGAACAGACAACCUCAGAGUUUCUCUGAAACUUUAGGUUUAUUGUUAAACAUUAUAUGACUCCUGCAGUCCAAUCUACCAUACGUCCCCCAUUUUUUUCCGUUGUUUUUCUGCUUCAAUGUCUUAGAGAAAAAUGAUUUACCAAUACAUUGUCAACUUAAGUGUCCACGAAUGGAUGGAUAAAGAAAAUGUGGUUUGUGUGUGUGUGCGUGCAUGUAUUCCUUUUUAUGGCCAUUAUAUAUAUAAAAUGGAAUUUUAUUAGGCCAUAAAAACGAAUAAAAUAAUGUUUUUUGCAUCAACAUGGAUGAAACUGGAGAUCAUUCUCUUAAGUGAAAUAAACCAGGCACAAAAGACAACUAUCACAUGCUUUCACUUAUAUGUGGGAGCUAAAAAUUCUGAUCACAUGGAAGUAGAGAGUGGAAAGAUAGAGAACAGAGACUGGGAAGGGUGAAUCAGGGGAGAGGAAGGACAAAUAGAAGUUAAUUAAAGAGUACAAAUUUACAGAUAAAUAAAAGUAAAAAUUUCAAUGUUUGAUAGAGUAGGGUGACUGUAGUUAAACAAAAAUGUAUUGUACUCAAGUGAACACCCAAAAUACCCUGACUAGAUCACUCUAGAUUAUAUACAUGUAACAAAAUUUCAUGUGUAUCCCAUAAAUUUGUACUAAUAAAAAAUUAAAGAUUACAUACCAAGUGACAAUGAAAAAAAAUCCCUCUUUCUUUCAAACAGUUAAAAAAUGUUUUCCAUGGAAGUACAUAAGUAUAUCCUUAUGAUUUCUAGCAGUUCUAGAUUACCAAUUGUGUAUCUGCAUGGCCAAAUUCUCAAUCAACUCCAGAAACUAUGAGAGAUGAAACUUAAUUUGAACUUUAAAAAAUGGACAUAUUUGAGUACAAAAGAUAGAGAAGGCAUUCCAAAUAAGGAAGAAAAUCAUUCGGAACCUGUGUAUCAGAUAGGAGAAAGCUAAUCAAAAAGAUGAAGAAGAAUGAAUUAAGGUAAUAUGAUGAUAAAAAUACCAGUUAACACAUAAACAUUAAUAGCUGUGUCUUCUUUAUAAUUAUCCAGGAUUUCCCUUGAUGCCAAGAUUAUACUUUUGUGCACAUACCUAUAUUUUAUAUGUAAGCUUCUACUAAAAUCGGUAUUGAAAAGACAUGUUUGUUCUUAUAUGGAUUAUACAAGAAAUAGAAUAGGUGCCGUCUCUACUUUGAUGGGCGUAGCUCAGGUUUCAAUGUUAUUAAAGGUUAAAUGAUGAUAAAAAUAUAAGAAAUUUGAAAUACAGCAUUCUUCUCAAAAGCAUGAUUUUCAAACAAACAAGGUUUUCAUGUUUGUUUAUUUUGGAAUAUUUUCUUGAUCUGUAGCAUAUUAUUAAGUAAGACCCCUCUGAUUAUCAAUCAUUUUAGAUUUGCUUAAGUAGAAUGGUGAUUUUAGUAUAUUCUUUAAAAUCCUAGUGUAUAUUUAUUUUCCCUUAAUCAAAUUAGAGUACCGUUUAUUUUCAGCCCCUUGAAUCCCCCCGACAUCUUUUAUUUGUAUAUUUUUUAGUUAGGAUUUUAUAAGUUUUUAUAUGCCAUUUGCAUUGUGUGGAAUAGUCAUAAAAUUCGUUGUCAGAGCUAGCAUGUAGGACAUGAAGGAAACGAAAAUAGGAGAGAGAAAGAAAUUGCAUCAAGAAAGCAGGAGAAGCUAAAGGAAAAGUAAGAACAAAAGGAGGAGUGGAAAAGAGAUUUAAAAAUGAGAUAAGUCAUGGCAGUGGGCUUCGGAAUCAACUCUCUAUCCCCACUGUGGUCAAUGGGUCCUUCUAAGGGAGGAGUAGGAUGGAAUUCAGGGAAUAAAAUAUAUGUCUGACUAUAAUCUAAUAAUCUUUACCCUCUCCCUCAAUCCCUGUGUGCACUUAGCUCCCUCUGUUGGACUGGUGUUGUUUACACACAAGUGAUUUGUUCUUUGAAGAGGCAGCCAAACAAAAUUUCCUUCUGAUAUUUUACAUUCAAAAGACAGAGGAAAACGAUCUCUUCUUGGCGUUUUUACAUUAGUAUAAAUGUUUUUAAGUGGUGAUAACAACUAAGAUGAAUUGUUUGCACAACUCAAGACUUUUCCUCCAGGUCUUUGUUGUAGUAGAGAAAUUUAAGUAUUUUGUAUCUUUUACCACACUGACUUUCUCACAUCAAGUAUUCAAAAUUGCAACCACAUUAAGGGAGAAGUUUGGAAAUGUUCCUAUUAGAAGGCAAUCACAAUAGUUUCCAGUAACCACUAGACUUCUUGUGAUUAUGAUUUUAAUAUAGUAACAAAGCCCUCCUUCCCAAAUGGGUGAAAGAUACACAUUCUUCUAAUAGUUUAAGUCAUGUUUGGAGAUAAAAGAUGAAGACUAGGAACUCCAGACCUCUGGAAGAUUUUAGAGUAGCCAUAAUUAAUGAUAUAGAAUAUGUUAGUCUAUGAGUGCUUCAUAAUAUGCAAUAUGUGAGGCUGGAGGUUGUAUGCCUUGCUUAUUAUUUUAUGGAGUCUCAAUAAAUUUUUCUUUAAUUUACUGAUUUUAGAUUAAAAAAUUGACUUCUAAUUUUUCCAAUCAUCCAUUCACUCAUUCAGUUAACUUCUCAACAAACACUUAAGAAGAACUAAUCAUGUCACAGGUUCUGUGCACAGUGCAGGGUAUACAACCGUUAAUUAAAGUAGACAUUUUUCCAUUCUUAUGAGAUUUACAGCUUUUACUUACUUUGCUUCUCUCACACAAUACACUUAAUUUUCUAGGCUGGAGCAUGGGUUAGAGACAUUCUGGGGAUUAGAACUAACCUAGUCAUAAGAUUUCUAGGUUCUUCCUAAAUUUUAAUGCACAUUGGAGUUUCAUGUAUUUUUUAGAAUAUAAUAAAUUGAUUGAUGAUCCCUACAAUUUCUCUCAAGAUUCCAGUGUUUAUCUUGUUGAGAAUGACAGUGACCUAAUAUGUAUUGACUUUUUGAUGACCCUUACAACAAUACUACCUUGUUUCAAAUUUAUAUCCCUGGGAAUUUCCAAGAACCAUGGUGUGUGUCUAUAUGUAUGUGUGUCUAUGUGUAGGAAGAAGACAGGUGGUAAGGAGAUAAGAGAGAUGGGCAGAGAUGAUUAGGAACAAUGCAUAUAACUUUAUAUAAAAUUUUGAUCCUACUAUUCUCCUUACUUAUUCUGCAACAUACUAUAGGAUAUUAAAAAUGGAAGAUCUGUGUGACACUCAAUACCUUUAUGUAACUCAGGUGUCAUAUGACUAAAAAAAGGACUUCUCAAACUACAUUUAGUAAAUGGGAUUUAUUGUAAAAUAAAACCAGGAAACAUCAUGCAAUUCAAAUGGAAGAAAAUGGAGCUAGGUCUAUACAGUUUCUGUAAUGAGGGAUUGUUAUGUUGUUCAAGAACUGAGGACACUCAUAUCUUGAUCACUCUUCCUCUGAGGUCACAUGAGUCUUGAUUUUUAUGGGUCUAUAACCUUCUAUGCCUGGCACCCACUAGUAACUUAAUGUAAUUUCUGUGUACUACAUCCAUAAAGUAGUGGAAAGAAUAUGGUUAUGUCAGCUUAUGUCAUGUACACUCCACAGAUUAAUUCAGAUAACUGGGCAUUGAGAUGACCAGAGGUAUUUCAAUAACCAUUUAGUGAAGGUUUAUAUCAGAUUCUCCAACAAAGGGUUUGUAAAGGACAUCAGUGCCAAAUUUAAAUAUUUAUCUUUCAACAUGCAAACAACUCUUUUAAAACAAGAGACAAUACAGACUAAUUCACCACUGAAAGAUAAAUUGAAAAUCAGGACUUUCUUACAAAGAUAUUCAUUGUAAAUUCAUUUGAGUCGAUGCCAGAAAAGAUUCUAAUUUAGUGGAAUUAACCUGCUUGUUUGUUUACUUUUCCACAGUGCUCUGAGGUUUCUAAAAUAUGGGAGUUGUUGACAAUAGUGUUCUUACAUGUAAUAUAGAUGGCCCAUCCAAUUUCUUAUUAAUUAAAUUCUGCUAUCAUUUCCAUUCCUAGCUAAAUGAAAUUAUAACAAUAGAAGGUUAUGUUAUGACAAGGUAGCGUAAAAGUUUAGAAAUAUAUUUUGAGUACUCUUGACACCAUUUUGAUGUACAAAAGGAAUUGCUAAAAGAUUUGGACCACUUUAUAAUCUAUAUUAGGUUUCAGAACUUGCAUGCAGACAAAUACUCAUUCAGUUUCAGAGAGAGAAUUUAGAGCCAACAAUAACUUUGAAAUUUAUUAAAAGUAGGUCACCUUCUUAAUGGUGAAAUGUUUGUGCUAAAAGGAGGAAUAGUUCUCUUGACUAAAUUUGUUAGGACUCAAAAGAGUGCAAAAAGGGUCAUUGAAAAGGAUAAUUUAUGGCACUCAAAAUAUUUGUGAAUCCAAAUAUUGUCAUUUUUUUUCUAAACAAGCAAGGAUACUGAUCAGUUAACAGCAUUCAUAUAAAUGAACUGUUAAGGUUGAAAUGAACAGGAGCUAUCUUGUGUUAUUUACAAUCAAGUUCUGUCUUAGAGACAAUGGUAAAUUAUUAAUAAUGCUCAUUAAUCAAUGAGCAUAUUAAAAUAAUUACAUUCUCUGCAUUUUUAUUUACUGAAUAUUUCUAAAUUUAUUUUAAAUUUAUUACUCAACUUAAUCUCUAACAUUCCUCAUUGACUAUUUAGUCAAUUGUGCUAAUGUUCCACUUUCCAAAACAACAUGCAAAUGGAAGAAAGAAUGAACUAAUAGUCAUUGUGCACUUGUUAAAAUAAACCAGGCAAUUUGCAUAAGUAAGCAUAUUUAAUACCUACAACACUACAGUACAGAUAUUAUAUUAUUUACGGAAGAAAAAAAUUGAACAUCAGAGGAAUUCAAGAAAUUGUCCAGAAUCAGGUAAGAUAGCCAAAAAUAUCAGAACUGGUUGCUGAUCAGUCUGUAUAUCUAUAAAGUACAUGCUUUAAAAAAAACACACUUCCUAUAUGCUAUGCCAAUUAUUUCCUAUUUCUUGUAAUAUCAAGUUAAAUCUGCUCAGCCUAGCAUUAUGAUGAUCCAUUAUCUGGUGUCUCUUUACUUAAUCAAUCUUCUUUUCACUGCUGUCCAACACAAAGCCUGUUUUUCAGUCAUCAAUCUACUUCCACCUCCAGACCUUAUUUUAUCCACUCUGGAGUCAGAAGGCCCAACCCUCUUUCAUAUAAAUCCAAACCUAAAUUCUCCAUGACAACCUCUCUCUUAGUUAUAAAUAAAAUUCCCUGCCCUUUUUGUUUUUUCCUUAUUUUCUGACUGCUGUUUUCUAUGCCCUCUUUUACUGUGGUCUAACAAUCACUUCUUCAGGCUGAUCUGCCUGCUCUCCUUUCUUCUAUGACGUCUUCUAUAGCAUUGAUAGGGUGCUUCUAUCUCUCACCAACUGCUUUGAAAUGAGCUCCUUCUCUUCUAGAUCUCGUAUAUACUACAUAAUUAGUUACCAUAUGGCCACAAUAUACAUGCAAUGCAGGGUGCAGAAGAGUCUCAGAAAGAAUGCCCAUGUGCUGUCCUUCACAUGAUGAGUCAACCAUAACCUUUGAAGAGUGCCUGGGACAUAAUGAUUGCUUCAGAAUAGAUUUAUAAAUGAAUGAGUAGUUAAACCAAGGUCAAACAGCUGGUAUCAGGAGAAGAAUUAGGGGUAAGUGAUCCUUGUCUCCUGCCUCUUUAUGCCUUAGUCUUUUCAAUACACCAUAUUCACCUAUGAUUUUCAUUAUUUCAGGAAAUAUGACAGACUUAAACUUUCACUUUAUUGAGUAGGUUAUUGUUUUGUUUUUGCGUCUCCUAGUUUAAGAAAGAGAAAUAGAAACAGCCAAACAAAACACUGGUAGGCAUUGACAACAACAACCUUAAGGAAACAUGCACUAAGAAGGAUUGCAGAGGCAUGAGGUGGUGAAGUCCAGGGAGUACAAAUAAUCUCAUAUGCAUCUGACUACUGCACUCCAACAAUACACACAAGAGUUGAAUAUCACUCAGGUAGAAUAAUUUCAUAUGGUACAAAGAUAUAAUAUAGGUUAUAUAUACAAUACCAUCUCUAGUGGUUUGAUGGAAACUUUAUGGAACACUCAGUUGAAAAAAAAUUCAAUAGUCAUGCAUGAGGUCCACAGGAAAUGUAUCAGAUUGAUUAAGAAUGUCUGUUGUGGUUAUGGAUAGUGAUACAGCAUUAUGAAUAUCAUAAAUAUUCAACUCUUUCUUAUUAUAUUUUUUAUUAUCACUUUUACAUUAUUCAGUGAAUUAACUUGCCUGACAGAA
rnacentral:lncRNA from 1 species